rnacentral:rRNA from 1 species
UACCAGCACCCCGAGUGGUCGGGACGUUUAUUGGGCCUAAAGCAUCCGUAGCCGGUUCUACGAGUCUUCCGUUAAAUCCAACUGCUUAACAGGUGGGCUGCGGAAGAUACUAUAGAGCUAGGAGGCGGGAGAGGCAAGCGGUACUCGAUGGGUAGGGGUAAAAUCCGUUGAUCCAUUGAGGACCACCAGUGGCGAAGGCGGCUUGCCAGAACGCGCUCGACGGUGAGGGAUGAAAGCUGGGGGGAGCAAACCGG